GUGCUCGCUUCGGCAGCACCUAUGCUAAAAUUGGAACAAUACAGGAAGAUUCUUGGCCCCUGCGCAAGGAUGACAUGCAAAUUCGUGAAGCAUUCCAUAUUUUU